rnacentral:tRNA from 1 species
GGGCUGUAGCUCAGCGGUCGGGCGCUCGCCUAGCACGUGUGAGGCCCUGGGUUCGAUUCUCAGCUCCA